CAUAAAUUUUAUCUGAAUUCCGUAAGAAGUAUACAUGCGGCAAUAACAUUGAAAAAGCAUGGCGUCCUAUUCCAAACCAGCAAAAAGAGUUUGGUGCAAAGAGUGGGUCUUUGUGUGUUAGAACUCCCAGCACGUAAGGCCAAACUCGAUAUGCAUGCUAUUGACCUACAAUUAUCAAAACAGAAAAAUGCUAAAUUAACAAUAAUGCUAAAUUUAUAAAUAAACAAAUUUAUAAAAUAGAAACACAAAUAAACAUGAGUGGCUCUAAUGUCUAAAUAAAGUUAAUGAACUGUGUAGAUUAACCCCAGAACUGUGUUUUGGUGUUUAAGUUUCUUGCCAAGCUCUUAGAAGAUGGUUAUGCUGAUCUCCCUGUUCUUGGCAGCCUGGUAAUACAAUGGCACGUAGGAGUUCUGGCCGAAGCCUGCGUGCUCCUGGAAGGUCUUCAUUUCACGAAGCGGCGGCACGAUGUUUCCUACAGUGGGGUUGCCCUGGGGAGAACGCUCCCAGGUGUAGCUUGCAGGCUCCAUGCUGUGUGCAAGGCUGACCUCACAAAGAUCUUUGGAGAGAGGGAGGUCGGGAUCUCAGCACAGGGAAGAGGAAUAUAGAGCUCUCAGCAGGGGGAGGCAGAGAUGGCACAAGAGACAUGCCCCAGGAAUGCCACCAGUGCCCCAGGACAGAUCCACCCAUGGGACCAGGUGAUCAGAGACCCUCUGGGGAUGGGGUGGAAUCUGAAGGGCGAGCCUUCUUCCCCAGGCUGGGAGUGGGUGAGAGGAGACUGGCGCCUCUCCAUCUGAGUGCCCCCCAAACCCCACAGUCACGUCACGAACGAACAAAUCACGUUACUUCUCUCAGCUGUUGCUCCAGUCCUUCCUUCUGCUGUUUCUGUGGAAAGAGUCAAGGUGACUGAGGGUGGCCCCUGAACUCUAUUGUCCACACCAGGAAGUGGUAGACAGGGGUCAGGAAUGGAUUUUGAAGGCAAAUUUCUCAGAUCUAAUAGGAACACAAACUGGUCAACUCUCCUCAAGCUCCCAAGGACAGAGAGUCUUUGUUGGUUUUUGCCCACAGCCACAGAACUCAAAGUCUGAAUCUGGAUUCUCUCGAAAGGACAGUAACAUCAACCUCUAGAGAUGAAGUUUGAUUAAGGGCCCCCUUCUGUCAGCUUGUGAUUUAGAAAACUAUUCAUUCCAUAAAUAUUUACUGAGCACAUAUGGGCCAGGUACGGUUCUUCACAGCAGAGAUGUGGGACAGAAAAGGACAGGAGCCCUUGGCCCUGAGGUUUCCAUUCUAAGGGGCCUUUAAAUCUCAGACUCUCAGAGCUAACAGAGACCUCUGAUACUCUACCUCCUGUGGAAACAGGAGCCAAAGGAGCAGAGGCGGCUCCUUCAGAGUAAAAUAGCAAAUUAGGGACUGAGUCACAGCAGGAAUACAGGGCCCCUGACCACCAGUCAGGCUUAGCACUUCCCCGAGAGGCGACAGCCCGGGGUAUGUGUGGCAAAACCUGAGCAGGAGUGUCUGGUGAAGAGAGAGUCAGGAAAGUGGUCAGCAACAGAAGAGCCAUGCUGCAUGUCCCUGUUCUGGGUCCCUCCAGGUGAGGCCUGGAUGCCCCAGCUCCCCAUUUACCCUUGGCACCAGGGUCCCACAGUCCCUUUUUUCAGCACCCCAAGGGGAAUCUGGAGCCCAGGAUGGGUAGUGUGGAAUCAGAGGACCCCACGGGACUCUUACCAAUAACUGAAUGGUGUCAUUCAGUUGACUGAUCAUUCUGGAGCUCGAGUCCAGGGUUCCUGCUGUUUCUUGGUAGCGCCUCAGAUGUGCCUGCAGAGAGGAGGAGUUGGAGAAGGAUUUGGGGGAGGCAGAGAGAACAGUCAUUAGGGCUAUGGUGUAUGGGGCUGUCUCAGCUGGCAGAAGGGCGCCCAGCCCCCGCUGUGGAAGGAGGCUGGAGGGCUGGCCUGCAGGGUCACUGCACCUCGGCGCAGGGCCUCUUACCUGCAGAUCUUUCAGAGCAGUACAUGACGCAGGGCCCUCCGCAUAAAUAACUGUUUGUGACUACAGGAGAUGAGAGUGUACAUGGACGUGUUCCGUCCCACUCUGGGUCUAAGCCCUCUGACUGCCUUUCUUCCCCAUCAACUGGCAGAAUUUUCUCUUCUGCCUGUCUCGGACCCUUUUUCCCAUAACUACUUUGUGUCAGCUCUUCUGCUGGUUCUAAUGUCCCCACCCUCCCCCCCCUGGGCUCUUUCAGUGACGGCUGAAGGGACAGGCUGAUGGGAAGUGGCCGUUCUCGUUGGCCUGGCGUCCCCGUGAGACUGGGGAUGAGGAGAAUCAGACAGCAACGACCAUUUCCUGGGUGUCCUGGCUAUUUACAGCAGGACGUGUACUAGAGAUUUACGUAAAAACAACAAUCACAAAUCUCAUUUAAACUUCACAAAUAGAAUUCAAACAAUACCACUUCUAUUUACAGAUGUGAAAAGAGAGGCCCAAAGAGCUCAAGAAACUUGCCCUAAAUCGUAUCCCUAGCAGAUGGAGAGGCAGGAUUCAAACCCAGAAUUCUUAACCGGUCCCUGACAGCCCAUCCACAAUCUUAGCAAUUACCCUCCACGGCCCCUUGGGCACCCCCCACCCACCAUCCCCAGGAGCCUGGCUGGCCCACGACUCACAUCGCCAGGUGACCGGCAACCACUAGAAGGGGCUGACUCGGGGUUCCUAGCAUUUUUGUUCCAUUUUCUUUUCGCUCCUUCGUGAACACCAGACGUCUUCCUCAUCUGAUAUUCUUGUAACUGUGGGAAAGAAGAGCAGUAAUACUCAUGAGAACCACCAGCCCCGACAGCCCCAUCCCCCUUUACAGUUUUUACAAUACUCUCUUAUACACCAUCUGAUUUAAUGCCACCAACAUCUGUGCAAGGUGUUGACGCAAUCACUCAGUGACUGAGAGGGACUGAUACGGCAAAAAAAAAGGCAAUACUGGAACUUAUGCUCAAUCUUCUGACUCCAAGCUCUGGGAUUUUUCCAUGAAUCAGCAGCUUCCAGGGACCAAAACCCGACGCUGAGGUAGAACAAGUCAACAUUCAGUGGGCAGGACCUGUACACUGUAUGUUUACAGUCAGACAUCCUCAUACGUCUGUGGGUGUUAAGAAGUGCACCAGUACCGCUCACACUUUCAUAUCGAUGUGUCGUCAUGACAGAAGGCGGCAUUUCUGUUACAUCUGGGUAUUUAUCAGCAAGAUGAGGACCCAAGCCUCAUUUCAGAGAGAAGUCUGGCGUACCCUUAGAAACCCAUGUGACUGUCAUCCCUAAGUACAUUAUUGCUUUUUCCUCUCUCAAGAGACUCAAGGGAAACUGACACUUCAGAAACAUGUCCCAUAAUUUUCCUGUGGCUCUCAAAGUACCCCUGGUUGAGAUGACAUGAGGAAGUUUCAACCUGUCAAGUUAAGUUUCCCAGGAUCUAUUCAAUAGAAGAUGAGGAGAUCUCAUUCCAGAGACCACUGACUGAAGGGCAGUUGGUCCCGGAACCAUGGAGAAUUCCAAUUUGAGGUGGAGAUCUCAGAAACAAAUGUUAAAGUCUCUCUGGAGAGUAGAAGCCUGGAAGAAAACCAAGACAAACCCAUUCUUCCAUUGGCACCCAGAGAUACUGAUAACAUUUUGAGCUCACAGGGGAAGUGUAGGCUUCUCACACUGUCAAUGUCUAUGUUAAGGGAGUGAGGCAGCCUGAAAGCUCUUGCUCCUAGGUCCCAUAGUCUCCAUUCCCCUUCCAGCUGGAAAUGUGUUCUGUGACCAGAUUAAGCAGAAAUGGGAUGAGAAUGCUUAGGGGACGGGAUCAUGAGAUCAAAGGUCUUGUAACAGGAAUGACAGUUCAUGGAGGGACUGUGGCAUUCGGACAUUCUCCUCCUCCUGGGGGAGGGGACCACAUCAGUGCCACGCCCAAGUUGCUGCUCCAUGAUGGGAGAGGGAAACACAGGGUUGGGACCCAGGUCUUUGGAGAAGCCAGCUGAAAUAGCCCUCGGAGGCCGAGGUUGGAGCAGCAGGAGGGGAGUGCAGAGUCUGCAGCAGAGAGCCCCAGGAGUCACCAGCCCAAAGUCACCCGGGAUGACUGGUGAGGGUGGGGCCUAGGGCUGGGGGACCCAGGUCCAUAGAGAAACAAGUCCAAAGAGCUCAGGAAGGUUGAUCUUGGGGAGGCAGGAGGUAAGGCCACGUAUGGAGUGGGGAGUCCCAGGAGUCACCCGCCCAAAGUCACCUGGGGAUGACUGGUGAGGGCGGGGCCUAGGGCUGGGGGACCCAGGUCCUUAGAGAAACAAGCCCAAAGAGCUCAGGAAGGUUGAUCUUGGGGAGGCAGGAGGUGAGGGCCACAUAUGGAGUGGGAGUCCCAGGAGUCACCCGCCCAAAGUCACUGUAGGGUGAUUGGUGAUGGCAGGGACGGGGCUGCUUGCUGAAAGGAUGGGGUUGACUGACAAGACUUUGGUGGGGGCAGCUCAGAGGCUCCAAGGUUGGCGGGUCCAGUCCCGUGUGCCUCAGGAGUGGUAUGGACUCCGGCAGAAGUCUUCCCAUUGGACGGGAUCUGUGGCUGGGUUGGGGGGCCAUGACCUGGUUCGUUUUACCUUCUUUUUGGCUGCUGCCAAUUUGUUGUCUCGUGACUCUGUGGACGUUGACAUCGUGGGGUGGGGAGGGAGGCGGGGUUGGGAUCACAUCAGCAAAAUCAGGCCAGCACUGGUAAAUAGCUCCAGUCACCUACCAGGCUGCUGUGUUACUGAGCCAGGGGCAGGGUAACCAUGGCCACACUAGAACAUAGAAUGGGGGCGUGGCCUUAAUGCUCCAAUCCCAUUGGUCAAUCAGAAAACUGAAAGGGCCCACCAGGACACGUGCUGUCAGAAGGAAAGCUGCACGUGCAACUGCUGUCCCCGCCCACUCUGAGAGAAGGGAGGGGCCUCCCACUCCUGGAUGGGGGAGGGGUCAGCUCUUCCUUUAAAAGCUUUAAAAAAUAAACUUUAAAAAACAUAUGUCCGUAUACUUUGUAUAUACGUGUGUCUGUCUGUGUGUAUCUUUGUGUGCCUUCAAAGGUGUCUUCGUUAUCCAGCUUCAAUGCGAAGUCUAUGAUUUUGGCCUCUGUUUUUCAUCUUCAAAUGAGUACAAGAAUUAACACUUUUACCUUAACUGAGAUACAAACCCUAUAAAAAUGGAAAAUCCAUAGCAUGCCUGAUGAUUCAUAAAGCAGACUAUGUUACCCAACAUUCCAGCAAGAUAAAAUAAUCACAAUGAUUUAUCUUUUUUGGAAAAAUGUUUCUCGCGCAUAAUUGUUAAGGUUUUUUUUUUUUUUUUUCCAA